AUGCAUUUCGCGUAUCAUAGGCUCUCCAAUUUAUUUGGUGUAUCCUUUAGCGAGAGUGCAUAAAUGAAGGCUGUUUAUUCAGCAGUGGCCAGACAACCACGAGAUGGAUCCACUGAUGAAUUGCCUACUAAUUUCAUCUUACAUUU